rnacentral:rRNA from 1 species
GUAGGUGGCAAGCGUUGUCCGGAAUUAUUGGGCGUAAAGCGCGCGCAGGCGGUUCUUUAGGGUCUGAUGUGAAAGCCCACGGGCUCAACCGUGGAGGGUCAUUGGAAACUGGAGAACUUGAGUACAGAAGAGGAAAGCGGAAUUCCACGUGUAGCGGUGAAAUGCGUAGAGAUGUGGAGGAACACCAGUGGCGAAGGCGGCUUUCUGGUCUGUAACUGACGCUGAGGCGCGAAAGCGUGGGGAGCAAACAGGAUUAGAUACCCUGGUAGUCCACGCCGUAAACGAUGAGUGCUAAGUGUUAGGGGGUUUCCGCCCCUUAGUGCUGCAGCUAACGCAUUAAGCACUCCGCCUGGGGAGUACGGCCGCAAAGGCUG